AUUGAAGCUCAAGCUAAAGAGACAUAUCUAACAGGAAGUUGCUGCGGCCGAGGUCAUAGAGGUUGCUGCCUGUGUUCUCCUCUAGGAUUUGGAUGGACUCUUGUCUCACAUUUGGGCCUUCCAUCCAUUUUGAGUCUAGUUUUAUGUAUGGUGUGAGGAAAUGGUCCAGUUUCAUUCUUCUG